rnacentral:rRNA from 1 species
GAUUCCCCUAGUAACUGCGAGUGAAGCGGGAAAAGCUCAAAUUUAAAAUCUGGUGGUCAUUGGCCAUCCGAGUUGUAAUUUAGAGAAGCGUUUUCCGCGCUGGACCGUGCACAAGUCUCCUGGAAUGGAGCGUCAUAGAGGGUGAGAAUCCCGUCUUUGGCACGGAUGCACCAGGGCUUUUGUGAUGCGCUCUCGAAGAGUCGAGUUGUUUGGGAAUGCAGCUCAAAAUGGGUGGUGAACUCCAUCUAAAGCUAAAUAUUGGCGAGAGACCGAUAGCGAACAAGUACCGUGAGGGAAAGAUGAAAAGCACUUUGGAAAGAGAGUGAAACAGUACGUGAAAUUGUUGAAAGGGAAACGCUUGAAGUCAGUCGCGUCGACCGAGACUCAGCCUUGCCUCGGCUUGGUGUACUUCUCGGCUGACGGGUCAGCAUCAAUUUUGCCCCUCGGAUAAUGGCGAGGGAAACGUGACACCUUUAUGGUGUGUUAUAGUCUCUCGUCGGAUGCGAGGGUCGGGAUUGAGGAACUCAGCACGCGCCUUGAGCGUCGGGGUGUUUGCCCACGAUACGUGCUUAGGAUGUUGGCGUAAUGGCUUUAAACGACCCGU